rnacentral:rRNA from 1 species
UACAGAGGUCUCAAGCGUUGUUCGGAUUCAUUGGGCGUAAAGGGUGCGUAGGUGGCGUCGUAAGUCGGGUGUGAAAUUUCGGAGCUUAACUCCGAAACUGCAUUCGAUACUGCGGUGCUUUGAGGACUGGAGAGGAGACUGGAAUUUACGGUGUAGCAGUGAAAUGCGUAGAGAUCGUAAGGAAGACCAGUGGCGAAGGCGGGUCUCUGGACAGUUCCUGACACUGAGGCACGAAGGCCCAGGGGAGCAAACGGG